UACGGAGGGUGCGAGCGUUGUCCGGAAUCAUUGGGUGUAAAGGGUGCGUAGGCGGGUUCUUAAGUCUGGGGUGAAAGUCUGCGGCUCAACCGUAGGAUUGCCUUGGAUACUGGGAGUCUUGAGUAUGACAGAGGCCGGUAGAAUUCGUGGUGUAGCGGUGAAAUGCAUAGAUAUCACGAAGAAUACCAGUGGCGUAGGCGGCCGGCUGGGUCAACACUGACGCUGAGGCACGAGAGUGUGGGGAGCAAACAGGAUUAGAUACCCUGGUAGUCCACACCGUAAACGUUGUAUACUAGGUGUUGGUCUCGCUUCGGCGGGAUCAGUGCUGCAGCUCACGCAAUAAGUAUACCACCUGGGGAGUACGCCGGCAACGGUGAA
rnacentral:rRNA from 1 species